rnacentral:rRNA from 1 species
CCUACGGGUGGCAGCAGUGGGGAAUAUUGGACAAUGGGCGAAAGCCUGAUCCAGCCAUGCCGCGUGUGUGAAGAAGGCCUUCGGGUUGUAAAGCACUUUCAGUGGGGAAGAAAGCCUUGGGGCUAAUACCCUCGAGGAAGGACAUCACCCACAGAAGAAGCACCGGCUAACUCCGUGCCAGCAGCCGCGGUAAUACGGAGGGUGCGAGCGUUAAUCGGAAUUACUGGGCGUAAAGCGCGCGUAGGCGGUCUGAUAAGCCGGUUGUGAAAGCCCCGGGCUCAACCUGGGAACGGCAUCCGGAACUGUCAGGCUAGAGUGCAGGAGAGGAAGGUAGAAUUCCCGGUGUAGCGGUGAAAUGCGUAGAGAUCGGGAGGAAUACCAGUGGCGAAGGCGGCCUUUUGGACUGACACUGACGCUGAGGUGCGAAAGCGUGGGUAGCAAACAGGAUUAGAUACCCGGGUCGUC